ensembl:lncRNA
AGGGCCGCACCCGUGGCAUAUGGAGGUUUCCAGACUAGGGGUCUAAUCAGAGCUGUAGCUGCUGGCCUACACCAGAGCCACAGCAACGCGGGAUCCGAGCCUCCUCUUCGACCUACACCACAGCUCACGGCAACGCUGGAUCCUUAACCCAUGGAGCGAGGCCAGGGAUUGAACCCACAACCUCAUGGUACCUAGUCAGAUUCGUUUCCUCUGCGCCACGAUGGGAACUCUCACCACAAACUUUUUUUAACUCUCAAGGAGAAAAUGACAAAUCUUCAAAAUACAAGGAACUUUAAGAAAGUUCUAAGCUCUAGAGAAUACCCUAGAGGUUAAUACAUAUCUGGUUUAAUGGCCUAUGUUUUCUCUACCUGCAGUAAUCCAUAAUCAUCAACAGUAUUAAAAUAAUGAUUCUGAAUUUCCGAGGAAAGAUGGUGGCCUGAGCACAUGUGCUUAUCCCCUUCUCCUGACUGUGACCCCUUUAAAGUACAACAAAGGAAUUCUCCAAAAAUCUAAACCCGUAACAAUGAAGGAACAGAAAGAUUCAAGGAAUCUCAAACUUUUUGGAAUGUGAAAGCAGAUGGGUGCACAUCACCUUGGGAAGCAGAGCGGAGGACAUCACAGCUGAGGAGAGUCUUGAAAGAGCAGAGUGAUAGAGGGAGCCCACCUGCCGGGACAACCGGGACAGGAAGACAGCAAGCAGAGUGCAGGAUGGAAGUGAGACGGGGCUGGGCGGAGGGAGGCGGGGGAGGACCAAGGAUCCUACGUCUGUGCAAGAACCAGCAGGCCAGCCCAGCCAAAACACACGCCUGACCUACCCCUGCACACCCACUGACCCCCAGCAAGGCGGGAUCUUCGCUGAAGAAAUCAAAGUCUGGAAAACACUAACGUUGUACAAACUAUCUGAGAGGGUUUCUUGUUUGCUUAUUUGUUUGGUUUUUUUUGGCUGCGCCCCAGGCAUAUGGAAGUUCCUGACCCAGGGAUGGAAUCCAAGCCAUACCUGCCACCUAUACUACAGCUGUGCCAACUCCAGAUCCUUUUAACCCACUGCGCAGGGCCAGGGAGCCAAUCUUUUCUUAAUUCCUCAACUCGUUAAUCAGACACGUAUCCAGCCAAUCUAGAACCCCAGCCCCAUACACAGAACUCCCAGCCCUCCUGUUCCUGCUUUCUUAAAUACGAAUGGACAUCAGGGAUCACCAGACUUGUGAGGAAAGCCUAGAGCAUCAGAGAAAAAGACAAGGACAAACAGAUGAACCCUGCAGGAAACUGAAGAAAAAUUAAAAAACCCCAAAGAACCAAACCCCAUAACCAAACCCCUCUAAUUCAUCUCCUCAGAGAGACUCACAAAGAUUAAUGCUCAGAAAUCAAGAAUGUCAUGCUAUCAAAAAGAUUUUAAAAGUUAAGAAGAACUCUACCUCUGGUAGUUAAAAAAUAUGAUUGCCAAAACAAAAAAUGAAUUAAAAAUGAAUGAAGAAUAGUCAAGGAACUCUCCCCAAAACCUAGAAAAACAAGCCAAAAAUCCAGGAGGGCAAAUGUUAAAUAAAUACAAACACAACGCCCCUUCUAAGGAACGUGACCCUGUCUCAUCGCUUCUGCAGCUCUGCCCAGCCCCCCACAGCGCUCCCGCACACCAUCCUGGCCCCCAACGUCCCAACAUGAGUUAGGACAACGUCUUAAUUUUUUCUCUCUCCUUCAUGGUUGUUUAUUUCCUUGUGGUUUAAGUUUUGGAUUAUGAGUCAUGUCUGGAGAAGCUUCAUCUGUGGGAAUCCUGGGCUGAGGCUGGGAUACAGGCAGCCAUGUCCAAAGGGGAUAUGUACGGACUGCUGCUGGGGUCCGCAGCUCUUAUCAACUGAGCAUCUCUUCAAGAGACCCUCUCCACAUGGACCUUCGCAGACCACACAGGCCAGGUAAAUUCCAACUAAGUUCAAGAGCAGGCAGGCCCAGGGUAAAAAUUAUCCAAGGAGAUUUUCCCCCAUUCAAAGUACAGGCCAAAUAAGGUUAGGUUAAAAACAAACAAACAAACAAAUCUGCCAAUGGGCUUAUUUUUUCAUUCUACGGUUUUGCUAGAGAUACAGAUAGCACUGCAUAAGCCCAGCUUUAGAUGGCAGUCUCGGUUCUGCCUCCCUGUUCAACAUGAGCCCAAGGCUUUGUCUCCUGUGCCCAAACUGCCUUGAAAACCCAGGUCUCACAGACACCUACCAUGUGACCGAGCCACUCCUAGCUUUACGCCAGAGAGAAGAAAGAGCCUGUGGCCACGCAAAGACUCGUUCACAAAUGUUCUGGCAGCUUUAUUUGUAAGAAGCUAAAAAUGGAAACAACCCAAACGCUCACCAGCAAGUAAACAGAAAGUAUGGUAAAUCCAGCCAAUGGAAGUGUACUUAGCAAUAAAAAGGAACAAACUAUUGAUACACACAACAUGGAUAGAUCUCGAAAUAAUUAGGUCAGGCAGGCAGACAUAUACAGCAUAUGACUGUGUUUUCUAGAAUUUUAUGUAGGUGAAAACUAAUGUAGGAGAUAGAACACAGGUAAGUGGUUGACUGGAAGAGCAGGUGUAGAGGCAGAAAAGACCGCUAAGGUCCUAAGGAAACAUGACGACUGGUACUUUCAUCAUGUGAA